ensembl:lincRNA
CGCUGUAGAGAAGGAUGAGGGAGAGUAAAGUGAUCUAAACAUCUCUUUCAGGGUUGCUUGUAACAUGAUGAUGAAGAAGAAUCAAAAUAAAAAACACUAUGGGACUAUUAGAACAUUACUUCUUAAUUGUGUGAAAUUGCUGGACAAAAGCAGACAUCCUCAAAUUAUUGCUUCAGCCAAUUACAUGCUUUCAGAACUUUUUCAAUUGGAUGAACCUAAAAAGGAAGAAAAUUCUGAAUCUCCUUUACAUGAGAAUUCGGAUGAAAGUUACAGUGAAGAGGAGGAGGAGAUGCCUGACAGUGAUGAAAAUGGAUCCUAUAGCACCAGCUCUGACCCGUCAGACGACAACAAAGCAGUAGCUAUCAUUAAGUCUGUUGGGGAAUUGUCAGUACCAGAAAAAUACAAGUCCAUCCACCAAAUCAGGCCCAGUUGUGCAUUUCCAGUUUGCCAUGAUACAGAAGAGCGCUGCAGACUAGUACUUAGCUAUGUUCUGGAGGGUUUAAAAUCUGUAGAUAACAGCAUCAAAAAAGAAAGUGACCUUCCAGCCGCUGACCCCAGCACCCCAAUCCCCUUAAAAUAUGAAGAUGAAUCUGCAAGGGGGGGUCCUGAGGGGCUAGAGAAGCAGAUGGCCUUGUUUUUGGACAAAAUGGGCUCCCUUCAGAAGGGUAAUUAUUCCAGUCAAUCUGGAAUGAUCCCUGGUUCUUGGCAACAUAAAAUGAAACUCCAGCUGAUUCUCAAGUCAUCAAAGGCCUAUUAUGUCUUGUCUGAUGCUGCCAUGAGUCUUCAGAAAUAUGGGAGAGCACUGCGAUACAUUAAGCUGGCCUUGCAGAGCCAUGAUACUUACUGCUGCCUGUGUACCAAUAUGCUCUCUGAAGUGUUGCUGUUUCUUUCUCAAUAUCUGACCCUCUGUGGUGACAUCCAGCUCAUGCUGGCCCAGAAUGCAAGUAACAGAGCAGCACACCUGGAAGAGUUUCACUACCAAACCAAAGAAGACCAAGAGAUCCUACACAGCCUCCACAGGGAGUCUAGUUGCCAGGGAUUUGCAUGGGCAACUGAUUUGUCUACAGACUUAGAAAGUCAACUUUCAGUUAGUUGUAAAUGCUAUGAGGCUGCUAAUGAAAUCUUGCAGUUUAGUGACUUAAAAAGCCAAAAUCCAGAACACUAUGUACAAGUAUUGAAGAGAAUGGGCAACAUUAGAAAUGAAAUUGGUGUGUUUUACAUGAAUCAGGCUGCUGCAUUACAGACUGAGAGAAUGGUGAGCAAAUCUGUGUCUGCUGCAGAGCAACAGUUGUGGAAAAAAAGCUUUUCUUGUUUUGAAAAGGGGAUUCACAACUUCGAGUCCAUUGAGGAUGCUACGAAUGCGGCUCUGUUGUUAUGUAACACAGGAAGACUGAUGCGCAUCUGCGCUCAGGCACACUGUAGCGCAGGGGACGAGUUCAGACGGGAGUUCUCCCCAGAAGAGGGCUUGUACUAUAACAAGGCUGUUGAUUACUAUUUGAAAGCUCUGAGGUCGUUAGGAACGAGAGACAUACACCCAGCCGUCUGGGACUCGGUGAACUGGGAAUUGUCCACUACUUAUUUUACCAUGGCAACUCUACAACAGGAUUAUGCUCCGUUAUCCAGAAAGGCUCAGGAGCAGAUUGAAAAAGAAGUCAGUGAGGCUAUGAUGAAGUCCCUGAAGUACUGUGACGUUGAUUUGGUGUCUGCCCGACAGCCUCUCUGUCAGUAUCGAGCAGCAACCAUCCAUCACAGGCUGGCUUCCAUGUACCACAGUUGUCUACGGAAUCAGGUUGGUGACGAACAUCUUAGGAAGCAGCACCGGGUGCUGGCAGAUCUUCAUUACAGCAAAGCUGUAAAGCUCUUUCAGCUCCUCAAAGACGCUCCAUGUGAACUACUUAGAGUGCAGUUAGAAAGAGUGGCAUUUGCAGAAUUUCAGAUGACCAGUCAGAAUAGCAACGUUGGAAAGUUAAAAACACUCUCUGGGGCUCUGGAUAUCAUGGUGAGGACUGAGCAUGCAUUCCAGCUCAUCCGGAAGGAGCUUGUAGAGGAAUUUGACCAGCCUAAGGGUGGUGAGACCAGUCCAGCUGCUGAUUCUUCUCCUAGUCUUAACAGAGAAGAAGUGAUCAAACUCCUCAGUAUAUUUGAAUCUCGAUUGUCCUUCCUCCUCCUCCAGUCCAUCAAACUGCUGUCUUCAACUAAAAAGAAAACAAGCAAUAACAUUGAAGAAGAUGGACUUCUCAAAUCCAACAAGCAAAUUUACUCCCAGCUUUUGAGAGCUACUGCAAACAAAAGUGCAAGUCUUUUGGAAAGAAUUGAUGUCAUCAUCCAUUUGCUGGGGCAGCUUGCUCAUGGGGGCAGCGGAAUAAGCAGCGGCGCCGUUCAGUGACCUCGCGCAGAGCUGCGUCUGCAGACACGCUGACAGUGCCUUCUGACCACAGGAGUGGCUUUGUCCAUUCGGUGCUGAGUUUCAUUAAAUGUGAGGAAAUACCCAUUUGAAACAGGCAUGCACUUAUUUCUCAUGACAGAGAGACAAUGGCGGAGUUCUUUGGCUUCUUCGUUUGAAGUGCUAAAGCCAGAACUGAACUGAAAGCUUCAGCUUUUAUUUCUAUGAGACGUACAUGGUACCUCAAUAUUAAUAGACUUUCUGUUAUGCAAUUAUACUUUCAGAUAUUUUUGAAGUAUCUUGGAUAACAAAGGUUUAAGAUAUUAUUUUGGAUAAAAUGUUGCUUCCACCAAGAGAACCUUUUAUCCAAAUGAUAUUACAGGUUCAAAUGGGUUAAAGAAACUUCCUAUAAAUCUACAAUAUUUCCUUCCAAAUUGCACAAGAACGUCCCCUUUGUGAAUUUUAGUGCAGGAGUUUUGAAGACUAGCCAUUGUGCACUAUUCUAUAUUUAAUGCAUGUUUUGAAGGGAUUCACUUUUCUUCAACUUUAUAUGACAGUUGAUCAGGAAUAGUAUUAUUUCCCCUCCCCUCCUUUUUCAUUUAAACUUGAAACUGUGAAUAAGGUAAAAAACAAAACAAAACUAUUUUGAAUAAACUAUUUAUUUAAAAUAUCUUAUUUUCCAUUUUUUCAUUCCUCACAUUAAAUUGUGAUUUGAACUCAGUUUAAUAAUUACAAAAUAAAGAUCAUAACAUUAAAAGUAAAACUUUGCCAUCCACUCAGUUUUCACUGGAAUAUUUCACUUACUCCUUG